rnacentral:rRNA from 1 species
GACGUAGGGCGCGAGCGUUGUCCGGAUUUAUUGGGCGUAAAGAGCUCGUAGGCGGCUUGUCGCGUCGACUGUGAAAUCCCGCGGCUCAACUGCGGGUCUGCAGUCGAUACGGGCAGGCUAGAGUUCGGUAGGGGAGACUGGAAUUCCUGGUGUAGCGGUGAAAUGCGCAGAUAUCAGGAGGAACACCGGUGGCGAAGGCGGGUCUCUGGGCCGAUACUGACGCUGAGGCGCGGAAAGCCAGGGGAGCAAACGGG